AAGGAGUCUAACAUGCAUGCGAGUGUUUGGGUGGAAAACCCGAGCGCGUAAUGAAAGUGAAAGUUGGGAUCCCUGUCGUGGGGAGCGCCGACGCCCAUACCAGACCUUCUGUGACGGAUAUGCGGUAGAGCAUGUAUGUUGGGACCCGAAAGAUGGUGAACUAUGCCUGAAUAGGGUGAAGCCAGAGGAAACUCUGGUGGAGGCUCGUAGCGAUUCUGACGUGCAAAUCGAUCGUCAAAUUUGGGUAUAGGGGCGAAAGACUAAUCGAACCAUCUAGUAGCUGGUUCUUGC
rnacentral:misc_RNA from 1 species